UACAGAGGGUGCAAGCGUUGCUCGGAAUCAUUGGGCGUAAAGGGUAGGUAGGUGGUCUCAUUUGUCUGGGGUGAAAGCCUCGAGCUUAACUCGAGAAGUGCCCCGGAAACGGUGAGACUGGAGUCUUGGAGAGGGUCGUGGAAUUCCCGGUGUAGCGGUGAAAUGCGUAGAGAUCGGGAGGAACACCAGAGGCGAAGGCGGCGACCUGGACAAGUACUGACACUCAACUACGAAAGCGUGGGGAGCAAACAGG
rnacentral:rRNA from 1 species